rnacentral:piRNA from 1 species
UGGAUCUUUAUCCAGGUGGUCUGGCUAU